AAAAGGAAAAAAUGAAAAAAUCACGCUCGCUCCGUUUCUCCGAAAGCGUAUUGACGUCUUUCUCUUUUUUCUUUUCCUUUCUCACAUUUUCUCCUCUUUUCCUUUUACCUUUUUCUCUACUCUACUCUAGUAUCGUACAAAAACAAAGAGUUCUCUCAACCGUAUCGCCUUCUCUUUUCUGUUUUUGCUGCUUCGUAAAAUACCUAUUGAAAAAAAAAAACGUCAAAAAAAACCCA
rnacentral:ribozyme from 1 species